GGCCCAAUGGUCUAGUGGUAAGAUACUUGCUUUGGGCCAAACCGAGGUUCGGACCCCGGUUACGUGAUUGCAAGGGAUCCUGGGUUCGAACCCCAGUUGGGCCC